ensembl:misc_RNA 7SK 7SK RNA
AGUCUUGGUACUGGCUAUGACAUCUGUCACCCCCAUUGAUCGCCAGGGUUGAUUCUGCUGAUCUGACUGGCUAGUGGGUGUCCCCUUCCUCCCUCACCACUCCGUGUUCAUCCCUCUCAAAGCUGUGUGCUCGGUCAAAGAGAAUGACCUUCCCAGAAUAGCGGAGGACCAGUCUUUGGUCAUGGGUAUACAAGUAGCUGUGCUCCCCUGCUAGAACCUCCAAACAAGCUCUCAAGGGACGUUAUAUUCAGUCUGAAGACUGAAAGCAAUCCUGAAUGAUCAAAUGAGAAAGAACUGGCAUUAUGAAAAUAGUACACU